ACAACCCGCCAGUUCAACCGGCCGCCAUGAGGACGCGGAGCUGAACCCCAGGAGGCUAUGGGAGACAAGAUGGUAAUUUCCUCUGCGAAAAACAACAAUGUUCGAAGUUGCACUACAAGAUGAACUUUCUCUUGAUCCGCACGCAUUCUCUGCAGAGGAAUAUCCCAAAGGCUUGGUUGUCAGUGCAAAUCUACUAUUCCGGUGCUGUUACAUGUCAAAUCCAGUGGCCGUGCAGUGUCAACAGAUGAUAAAGAGAGCGGAAGUGUAAGUUGAAGAAACAAGUGACCCCUUUCUCUUUGGGGCAACGCUAUAAUUGACUGCAGUUUCUUUGGGGCUAUCUCACCGUGGAGAACAGAGACACCAGCAUAUGGUGAAAAAACACCUCAACAGACAGAUUUCACCAUGCAGACUGUACAAUGCCAGAAAUGGCUGAGAAAGGGACGGUUUGAGAGAGCGCCAUCACCAGUGCCCCUCCAGCCCCCAGUCUAUGGGGCAGGUCAAGUCAGACUCAGGAUGAAUCUUGCAACAAAAGAGAUGGGGGUGUGGCCAAGAUGGAAAGGUGGGCUAUGGAGGAUUCACGUCAUCAGAUUGAGCUGCUGCCACACCGCCUGCCGAUACAACGCCAUUGUGACGGACACUAACCAGCAUGAAUCACAGUUCAUCAGUUGAUGCUAAUUAUUUGUUUUACAUAGAUCUCAUUAUUAAAUUAAACAGUAGUUGUUUUCAGUUAUUAAAUUGAGCAGUGUUUGCA
rnacentral:lncRNA from 1 species